CAGUAGCCGCGGUAAGACAGAAGAUGCAAGCGUUAUCCGGAAUGAUUGGGCGUAAAGCGUCUGUAGGUGGCUUUUCAAGUCCACCGUCAAAUCCCAGGGCUCAACCCUGGACAGGCGGUGGAAACUACCAAGCUAGAGUACGGUAGGGGCAGAGGGAUUUCCGGUGGAGCAGUGAAAUGCGUUGAGAUUGCAAAGAACACCAACGGCGAAAGCACUCUGCUGGGCCGACACUGACACUGAGAGACGAAAGCUAGGGGAGCAAAUGGGAUUAGAGACCCGAGUAGUCCCUGUCUCUUAUACC
rnacentral:rRNA from 1 species